rnacentral:tmRNA from 1 species
GGGGAUGAUCGGCCUGGACAAAGAGUACGUUUAAAUCACGCAAGCCGAGUGUUCUAAAAACUCGUAAAACUUUCAGAAAUCUAAUUAAGCGUCAAAAACUUAUUUAGCCAACCGGCGUUAGCUUACGCUUAACCCGGCGUUCCCCCGGCCCACUUCCGAUAAGCCGGACGGAAUGUCAUUUAUCGGGAUAGGAAAAUUUCCGCCUCAAAAAUUUUCCGAAAAAUUAGAGGCUCUGGAUUCGGAGAUUUUGAUUGUUUAAUACCCCGUUUCCGAAACGAACAAACAACCUAAGCUUGUAGAACUGAUUUAAAACAGCUUUUUGCACGGCGGUUCGAUUCCGCCCAUCUCCAUAA